AAUGAUUCUGACAUUUAGCCAGAUUGGACAAAUCCCUGGCCUGGGUCAUAGAACUGCUCUUCAGCUGCAAAGACCUAUGUCUCAUCUGUAUAGCCAAACCUAGAUUUUCUGACCUGGAGGACCAAACUUACUUUGCAAGGUAAAGUGAAACACAAAUAUGUAUAUAUGAGAUUUAUAUGUAUAUAUGCAUGUAUACAAUCAAAACAAUCUUUCCUUCAGCUAUACUAAAGAAUAUUAUGUAUUUUUUAAUUUUUUUAUCCUAAAUCAAAGAACAUCUUCAAAAGUGUUUUCUAGAAUGAUCACACCCAUUUCCAUCAAAAAUAGGUGAGAAGAGGAGAUAAUUUGCCUCUGAUUCCUCAUUAUCUCUGGGUAUUUCAGGAUACUAAAAACUUUUUGCAUUUUAGGAAAUCACUAUUGUAAAUAGGAUUCUGGUUUUAACUUCUUACCAAGAACUGGAGAGAUGCUGUAGGAGGGUGUUCACUCACUCUUUGGACACUAGUGCUUUGAGGGACACCAAGAUGUAUCAGGAAAUUCAUAUAUCUAUUCUGCCAAUGCAGAAUUUAUAAUCAUUUAGGGGAGAUAAGCCAUAUACCUAAGUAUCUAUACUACAACAAAAAGCAUAACUUUGAAGGGGAAAAGACUGAUCAAUUUGACUACAUUGAUAUUUUAAAAUUCUGGGCAUCAAAAUUGUAUCAGUUUUGGGGAGUGAAAAUAUGUCACAGCUUGUGAGAAAAUAUUUUCAAUGGGUAUAACUGACAUAGGAAUAAAAUCCAGAAUAUGUGAAGAACCAUAAAAAAUGAAUAAGACCAAGUACACAUUAGAAAACUAGAUAAAAAUGUGAUCAGGUAAUAAAUGGAAACUGAAUUGCCAGUAAAAUAUGAACAGUUACUCUAAUUCAAUAGUCAUUUGAGAAAUGUAAAUUUAUACCAUGAGAUACAACAAUAGUAUCAAUUUUGCAGAAAUGUUAAAUAAAUCUGAUAAUACCAGUGCUAGAAUGUAAAGCUAUGAGAAUUCAUACAUGCUUCUGGUGGAAAUGUAAAAUGGUGCAACCUCUAUCGAGAGCAGUUUGGCAAAAUUUAGUUAACAUUGAGGUCAUGCAGAUUCUGAAAACAAAUUCUAUUCCUAGGCUUAUACCCAUAUUGGUAUUAUAGCUGGAAAUAGGUGGCAUGCUCAAAGAUAAUUAAGGAGACUCUCAUAAAGGAACUAUCUACAAAGUUUGGGGCAGACAUAAGAAAAAUCAACAAAGGAUAUCAAUAUCCCAGUACUAAUGUUCAGCAUGGAGUCACCACCAGCUGUAGGCUGGAAGAUGCAGAGGAGUUACUGGAACCAUGAGAAACUGUGCUGGCUAUAGAGAGGGUCGCCCAACAGGAGAGGUGGUUCCCAAUGAAGGAAGGCAGCUGAGUGAGGUGAAAUAGAAGGAGAGCAGCCUGGGGUGCAAGUUACCCAGACUCAUUCUCCCUCUUUCCCUGUGAUAGCUUAUGGGUGCCUUCCACUGGCCUACUCAACAAGAAUUCAAACCACAGGAGCCCCUUGGUGAAGUUCAUAAAUACCAGACUGUUGAGGCACAAAGGAGAACAGAGACCUGGAGAGGGCCAAUGGAAGAAUUUAGUAUAAUCUCUAGAGAAAUCUUGACUAGGGUACAUAUUUACACAAUGGACUAUUAUAAUGAUGAAAAAUAGAAAUAACCUAAAUAUCCUUAAACAUGCAACAAUAUAACAAUGUUCUGGGAAAAAAAGAAGGCAAGGUGAGAAAAUACAUCUACGAUGUUACCUUUUAUCAUCUAAAACAUGUAAAAUAUUAUGUGAUAGUAAAGUAUACAUAGUAAGAGUGUGACAAAUUCAGGGAAGUCGUGAAUGACAAAUUUAUGAGAGAGAUUACCUCUGAGGAAGGGAGAAGAAUGCAGUGUUUGGUACAUACUUACACUAAACAUUAUGUGUUGUUUAUCUGAAAUUGAAAUUUAAUCAGGUAUCCUGUAUUUUAUAUGGCAACCAUAGUUAGGAAGGGAUAGAGAACAACUUCGGAUGACUGUAUUUGUUGCAAAUAUCUUCUCCCAGUCUGUGGCUUGUUUCCAGCAUUCUCUAUUGUUAUCAUGUGUCUUGAUGGACAGAAAUCAUAUUUAUUUAGUUGAACAAUGGGAACACAGGUGUUCAUUUUGUUAUUCUUUAUAGCUUUCUGUAUGUCUGAAAUAUCCCAUAAGUAAUAUUGAAAAUAUCUAUGCAAGAAAAUAAGAACUGAGACAUGUCAUAAUAAAGAUUCUCUGGAUAAAAUGCUUCAGGAUGUUAGGAAAAAUAACUCAUAUCCAGUGGAGGAGCUCACAGAGGUGCAAAACCUUGAUCUAUGAAUAACACAGAGAAAGGUCAAUAAAUUCUUGCCAAAGGAGCUAUAUGAAGAAAAGUAUGAAGCCAUGAAUGCACAAUGUAUAUCAAGAAGAGAAUGAAAAUAGUAAUUGUAAUAAUAAUGAUUAAAGUAACAGACAGUAUACAUGUCAUUUUAAAUAGCAUUUCUUGAGUGCUAUAUACUGGACAACAUUUUGAUUUUUUUUUUUAUUUCACUUAAUACUCUUAAAAGUCCCUUCAUACAAGUUUCAUAAUUUUCCCACUUUAAAAACAAGCUUUGGGAGUUCCCAUCGUGACUCAGUGGUUGAUGAAUCCGACUAGGAACCAUGAGGUUGCGGGUUUGAUCCCUGGCCUUGCUUGUGGGUUAAGGAUCUGGCGUUGCUGUGAGCUGUGGUAUAGGUUGCAGAUGCGGCUUGGAUCCCGCACUGCUGUGCCACUGGCCUACACCAGAGCCACAGCAACACGGGAUCUGAGCCAUGUCUGCGACGUACAUACACCAUGGCUGAUGGCAACGCCAGAUCCAUGAGCAAGGCCAGGGAUGAACUGGCAACCUCAUGCUUCCUAGUCCGGUUCAAUAACCACUGCACCACAAUGGGAACUCCUGGGUUUUUUUUAUUAUUAAUUUAUUUUUUUUCCCCACUGUACAGCAAAGGGAUCAAGUUAUCCUUAUAUGUAUACACUUUUCCCCCACCCUUUGUUCUGUUGCAAUAUGAGUAUCUAGACAUAGUUCUCAAUGCUACUCAGCAGGAUCUCCCUGUAAAUCUAUUCUAAGUUGUGCCUGAUAAGCCCAAACUCCCGAUCCCUCCUAUUCCCUCCCUCUCCCAUCUGGCAGCCACAAGUCUAUUUUCCAAGUCCAUGAUUUUCUUUUCUGUGGAGAUGUUCAUUUGUGCUGGAUAUUAGUUUCCAGUUAUAAGUUAUAUCAUAUGGUAUUUGUCUUUGUCUUUCUGACUCAUUUCACUCAGUAUGAGAGUCUCUAGUUCCAUCCAUGUUGCUGCAAAUGGCAUUAUGUCAUUCUUUUUUAUGACUGAGUAGUAUUGCA
rnacentral:lncRNA from 1 species